rnacentral:rRNA from 1 species
UACGUAGGUGGCGAGCGUUGUCCGGAUUUACUGGGCGUAAAGAGCGCGCAGGCGGCUGGUCAAGUCCGAUGUGAAAGCUCCCGGCUUAACUGGGAAAUUGCAUCGGAAACUGAUCGGCUGGAAGGUGGGAGAGGGUAGCGGAAUUCCCGGUGUAGUGGUGAAAUGCGUAGAUAUCGGGAGGAACACCAGUGGCGAAAGCGGCGUCCUGGGGUGAGGUUGACGCUCAGACACGAAAGCAUGGGGAGCGAACGGG